CAUUUUUACACAAGUGAACAUAUAUAUAUAACAAAUCCUACACGUUGAUUGGUCAAAUUUGACGUAAUAAGCUGUUAUAUUUACCUACAGGUGAAUAUAACAAAACAGAAAUUUUCAAAAUGGCGGCUAACCGUUUUGUGGAAGUUUACUGACAAAGAAAUAAGCAAAAUUAAAAUAAAGUCAGUCUCAAAAAACAAAAAAGCUUGUGUAAAAAUACUAAAACAAUUAUUCGCCUCAUGCAUGCUCGGUGAUUAUCUUAAGAUACUGUUUGAUAUCCUAAGAUAUUGU